UUUAUUUGAUAGCACCUUACUACAUGGAUAACUGUGGUAAUUCUAGAGCUAAAACAUGCUAAAAAUCCCGACUUCGGAAGGGAUGUGUUUAUUAGAUUAAAAACCAAUGCCCUUCGGGGCUCCUUGGUGAUUCAUGAUAACCGCUCGAAUCGCACGGCCUUGCGCCGGCGAUGGUUCAUUCAAAUUUCUUCCCUAUCAACUUUCGAUGCGAAGGUAUUGUCUUCGCAUGGUUACAACGGGUAACGGAGGGUUAGGGCUCGACCCCGGAGAAGGAGCCUGAGAAACGGCUACUACAUCCAAGGAAGGCAGCAGGCGCGCAAAUUACCCAAUCCCGACACGGGGAGGUAGUGACAAUAAAUACUGAUACAGGGCUCUUUUGGGUCUUGUAAUCGGAAUGAGUACAAUUUAAAUCCCUUAACGAGGAACAAUUGGAGGGCAAGUCUGGUGCCAGCAGCCGCGGGUAAUUCCAGCUCCAAUAGCGUAUAUUAAAGUUGUUGUGGUUAAAAAGCUCGUAGUUGAACCUUGGGCCUGGCUGGCCGGUCCCCCUCACCGGGUGCACUGGUCCGGCCGGGCCUUUCCCUCUGUGGAACCGCAUGCCCUUCACUGGGUGUGCCGGGGAAACAGGACUUUUACUUUGAAAAAAUUAGAGUGCUCCAGGCAGGCCUAUGCUCGAAUACAUUAGCAUGGAAUAAUGGAAUAGGACGUGUGGUUCUAUUUUGUUGGUUUCUAGGACCGCCGUAAUGAUUAAUAGGGACAGUCGGGGGCAUCAGUAUUCAAUUGUCAGAGGUGAAAUUCUUGGAUCUAUUGAAGACUAACUACUGCGAAAGCAUUUGCCAAGGAUGUUUUCAUUGAUAAGGAACGAAAGUUAGGGGAUCGAAGACGAUCAGAUACCGUCGUAGUCUUAACUAUAAACUAUGCCGACUAGGGAUCGGACGGUGUUUAUACUUGACCCGUUCGGCACCUUUCGAGAAAUCAAAGUGCUUGGGCUCCA
rnacentral:rRNA from 1 species